CACCUCUAGCUAAUCCAACAUAUAUUAGAGGCACUGCCUGCCCAGUGAUUAAUUUCAACGGCCGCGGUAUUCUGACCGUGCAAAGGUAGCAUAAUCACUUGUCUUUUAAAUAAAGACUAGUAUGAAUGGCAACACGAAAGCUAAACUGUCUCCUUUAUCCAGUCAAUGAAACUGAUCUUCCUGUACAAAAGCAGGAAUACAUCAACAAGACGAGAAGACCCUAUGGAGCUUAAAACACAUAACCAUUCUCACCUUAUCUGUAAGAAAUUGGUAUAUUGUUUUUGGUUGGGGUGACCUCGGAGAAUAAUUUAACCUCCGAAAAAUACUAAGAUACACUCAUUUAAGUAUUAAAACUUUAAACCACUGACCCAAUUAACUUGAUCAACGAACCAAGUUACCCUAGGGAUAACAGCGCAAUCUUCUUCAAGAGCCCAUAUCGAUAAGAAGGUUUACGACCUCGAUGUUGGAUCAGGAUUACCAGACAGUGCAGCCGCCGUCAAAGGUUUGUUUGUUCAACAAUUAAAAUCCU
rnacentral:rRNA from 1 species